UACCCGCUCAUUACUCUCUCUUCUUCUCAUCUCCGUCGUGUGCCUUAAAUCCCCCCAAAUAAAAGAUUGUACUUAAUUCUUCUUCCCUUUUUAUCUCAAAAUUUGCCCCCAAAUUUCCCAUUUCCAGCAACACCAAGUCAAUACACCUACGCCAAUCACACUUGUUUUUCCUUUUCAUUUCACUGCACUGAAUUCACUCACCAUAGCUACUCCUUUUCUCUCGAUCUGUUAGGGUUUCUUUUAAUUUUAGGCUUUCAAGGGAACGUACAAUUUCCUUUUAAUUUUACUGGUGAUUUCUAUGGCAACGGAAACCCUAGAUGAUAAGAAACCGGAGGAAGAGGAGGUGAAAGAGAAGACUGAAACUUCCCAUUGAAUAAGAAAUCAGUAGAAGGAAAAAGAAAUCAGAUCUUUCUAAAUAAGAAGAAAAAUCAAUACUUUCUUUCCAUUGAAGAACAAGAAGUGAAAGAGGAUAUUAAGGGAAAAUGUCAAGAGAAAAACUAAGAAGAGCCGCACUUCCUCCUGCUCAAUAGGUGUUCUUUUUUAUUUCUAUUGCUUUUGAUUUUGAUUUUUUGUUUCUUUGAUUGAUUAGAUGUUGGGGCAAUCCUUGUGGAAGACACGACCUGCACUUUGGAGCUUUUCAAAGUUCUCUCCUAUUGCCAGAAAAGAGAACAAGAUAUUACACAGCCGGAUUGAAGCUAUGCAUAUUCAGUUUGCUAAGAAAGAUCGUGGUUCUGCACUUGCAGAGCUAGUGACAGUUUCAGGCAUUGGAAAUAAUUGGUGCGAAAGUUUCUCUAUGUAUCCAAGAACAUAUGACCUUAUUCAUGCUAAUGGUGUCUUUAGCUUGUAUCAAGAUAAGUACUUCUCUUAUCCAUAUUUUUCCAGUGUGCUAUGUUUCAUUAGGAACCAAAGUUGUCAUUCAGCAUAUAAUUCAAUACACACAUCCACUGUAGCCAUGCUGCAUCAUUUAAGCCUUUUAAAAUUAAGAAAUAAUAAAUGGUAGUUUUUAUGAAGUGAAGAGUUAUAUUUCAAUUGCAUUAUGUGGAAUAGGGAAGUCUUUGUAUGCUGAAUGCGUUCUUGGGAUGCCAUUAUCUAUAGUUUCUAAUCAAUUGUAUGGUAUUUGUAAAUGAUUAUAUAGGUGAUAGGUAAAUCUUGUGACACCUUUUCUUUCUUUGUUCACCUCACUUUAUAGCCUAUUUUUUCCCUCCUGCGUUGGAUCUUAAUUUUUUUAAAUCACAUGAUCUCAAAUUUCAAUUUCUUUUAACAUUUAUUGGAAGAAUAAUGUGGUCUCAUUUGAUUGUUUCUCCUAUUGCUUCUACUCGUAUUUCUUUUUGGAUGAAUAAAUUUAUUUGUUUAAUCCUCAUCAUCCUGUACAAUAUCAUGCUUGCAAGUUUCUGCUUUCCUCCUUAUUGCAGAUUUACUAUCCUGUUAUCCCUCUGUUGUUCUCCUUGAUGUGGAUAUUUCUUGUGAAGAAGUACUUACAUUUUGCUGUUUAUUCAUGCUUACAGGAUAGGAUCAAAUGGUUUGGAGAACUCGAAAGCACUCCUCUGUCACUCCUAAACAACAUUGGGAAGAAAGUUUGCGUGAUGCACACACGUUUGGAAAACUUGUUCUGUUUCAGAACUUGGAUCCAGCUUACUCUUCAGCAGAAGUGGAGGAUAUAGUCUGGAAUGCCCUCAAUGAAACUUGCAGAGCAAAGAUGGUGUAGCAGACUGCAUUGUAUUUUUUAUUAUCUUGCAAUGUGUAUAGUCAUAGGCAAGUUCAACUAGUCAGUUUGUUUCUCAUAUGUAUUAUUUAUUUUAGUUUUGAUUCUAAAUUUUUAUUUUUACUUUAAUAUUUAUGACAACUUGAGUUCUAACUUUUGGAUUUUAA